CAGCCGCCGCGGUAAUACGAGGGGGGCAAGCGUUGUUCGGAAUUAUUGGGCGUAAAGGGCGCGUAGGCGGUUUGGCAAGUUUCGUGUGAAAUCUUCGGGCUCAACUCGAAGUCUGCACGGAAAACUGCCGGGCUUGAGUAUGGGAGAGGUGAGUGGAAUUUCCGGUGUAGCGGUGAAAUGCGUAGAUAUCGGAAGGAACACCUGUGGCGAAAGCGGCUCACUGGACCAUUACUGACGCUGAGGCGCGAAAGCUAGGGGAGCAAACAGGAUUAGAUACCCGCGUAGUCCCUGUCUCUUAUAC
rnacentral:rRNA from 1 species